CAACAUCAGGUUCUUUGGAAACAUCUGUGUAAUCAACAAAACUACAAGCAUUUAAAUCUGUAACCCACUGUGCUCUACAGAGACUUCAUGGAAAUCAUGAAAGCUGAAGUCCCCCCUGACAUGAGCUGUCACUGCAGUCAGCAGGGCCACCCUGGCCUAUACCAGGUUCUCUCUAUUUAAGUGAAUGGUUCUGCUGUUCUCUGCUGUGGUGUCCCAGGUCUCUCAGAGCACUUAUCCAGUCUCAUUUUCGCUCCUGCCUCAAGUUCUGCCUCAUAGAAAAGGGGAAAAACAAGGUGGAGUCCUGACUGGUUCUGACUUCAGCAGCAGAGUGAACAGCCCUCUGUGUGUGUGAAGAGACAAAAAAAGUGUGCAACCAUCACCCUCCUACAAUUGCUCACAAUUUAAAAGCCAGCCAGCAGCAGGAACAGGAAGAGAAAAGGUCACAAGAGGACAGUGUCCAUGGCCAGCAUCAGGUUUCACAGAAGGGACCAUAAGGGAGAAAAUGAAAAACAUUUGGACUUAAUUAAGGCACUAAUCUGGAAAAAUGAGGAACAGUUGAAAGCUGCAGAGUUGGGGCAUUGCAUAAACUUCUUUUCUUGAUCACAAAGUAACCUUGCAGUAGCGUCUGCUACUGAGAAUAAGGGAGGAAGAGGUUGGUGGGAACUGGGGCUUUGAGGUCUACCCUAAAGCACUGUGUUUUAUAGUGAAGUACCAUCAGUAAAGGCAAAGGAGGGAGGACAAAAGGAAAGGGGUCUGUGAGAAAAUGACAUACAUUGCUUAGAGCUUUGCUCCCAAAAAUAGUGCUUUCACAUCUUUGAAAAUAUGCAUUUCUCCUAGAAGUAGCUUUUCAGUUGUCAUCUUAAAUUUUCUGCUAGAAAAUUCUCUGUGUGCUUAUAUAUAGUAUAUAAACAAAGGUAAAUACUGAGUUACAUAAAAUAACAUUGUUGAUAAUAUGCACAUAUAUUUGCUUGUAUUUAUCUCAAAAGAAAAAAAAAGUUGGCAUGCACAUCUGCAAAAAACGAAACAAAAAAGACAAGAUGCUGGAGUUCCUUCCAGCCUUUUUAAGGCCUAAAUUCACCCAGUAGAAGCUGCAUGCACAUAUCUGAAGGUAUUCAAUAAUCAGGGAUUACAGUUAGAUGAGGGUUAAAAUGGAUGUUGAGUUUCUAAAUGCAUUUUUUUUUCUUUAUGGUCAUAACAAGGACUAAGAAGAGUGUAUUUUGUUCAUGUGCAGAAGCAGAUCUGCUACCAGACUGGGUAAGCAAGGCUUAUGCAAAACCUUCUAUGUCCAGGGUUCAGGACAGAGAGAUGCUUGUGGAUAUAGCAAAAUUUUUUUUUAAUCAGCCACUUUUCACCUUUUAGAUUCACAUUUAAUGAAGGGAGACAACUAAUUUUCAGUACAAUCAAAUGAGAAGCUGGAUAUUAGAAUAUUUUUCCCAUUCUAGUUUCCAUACAAAAUUUCUCAGCAACAGCAACUUGAGGACCCCUAAGGCCACAUCCUUAUCUACAGAAAAUGGGCUCCACUGAAAAUAGAAUGAUGUUACUUUAUGUCAUAAAGGGGGUAUGGGCCUCAGUCCAGGUAUGUCUUCAGUUGAGUUUUGGGCCAUGAUUUUCCCAUCCUUUGUUUCAUAUGCAGCUGUCUGGGCAAACUACUUUCAAAAUGUGCAUAGAAAGCUGCUCAAGUAUCCGACAGUAGCCUGCAUCUAUUUUGCAUGAUAAGUAUAACAGAUAAAGACAAGACAGACUAGAAUCAAAGCAACCUCUUGUUCCCUUCCCAUUAACACACAGGAAAAGAACAGAACAUUGAUGUCUACUGAAGUAAAGAAUUAUAUAAUAAUAUUGUUAUUUGAGAAAAAUGGAAUAGAGCUUUGUGAUAGAAAUAUGAACUGUUUGGUAAGGAUACUUAGAAGUUUGUGGGUCUUGCAUGAAGGUCCUUUUUAAAUUAUAUUUUGUGGCAAUUCUUUCUAAAACCAGCUGUGGUAUGCAGCAAAUAGUACAGUUGUUGCUUUGAAAAAAAAUCUGUCUGCAGUGGUCUGAAAAUAAAAUCCCACAUCAAGGAGUUCACUACAAGUUAGCCCUGCUCACAGACAAAGGAUAGUUAUGCAAGGAUGUGUGUAGAGUUAUUUCUAAGCAGUGCUUUUCCAUGUAGUUAUUUAGGAAUAGCAAAUGUUUCUCUUCUCUUGUUUUUCCAUGGCUGGUGAAAUGUUCUCCCUUUCAGCCUCAGCAGAGGAGUGGACAGGUGCAGUGAGAGCCCCAAACCUGAGGUUGAAAGGUGCUUGCAUGGUUCACUCAGCUGGUAGAGAUUAUUCUGGUAUCACUUAGGCCAGAUUUAUGCUGAUGGAACACCUCUGGGUGAAAUCCAGGUUUUUUGAACUCAGGGCUUAGAUUAACUCCAGGGACAGCCAAAUGAAUCCAGGUUACAGAGAAAGCACUGGAAAUACCUUAGUUAUUUAUGCAUUUGACUUAAGCCAAGUGAUCUAAUUGUUGAUGGGUUUCAGUAAAGUAUGCCUGAACUGAUGCCAUUAAAGUCAACCAAGUUAAUCUUGUUUUACAUAAGUGGGAUUGGGAUCAGAAUUUGCCUAAAGAGUCUUUUUCAUUCAUUUGAGUGGAGGAAGUGGAACUAAAGGUUUUUACAGCUGAAUUAGGAUUUUAAAACAGAAGUGGAUGUAGGAAGAAGGGAAGAUUACACUGAACUUCUCUGAAGUGUCCACCUUUCACUAAGGAGCAGCUUCUGUUGCCACUGCCUCCGCCAGCCUGUGUAGUUACUGCCAUCCUUAUGCUUUACUUCCAAAAGCCUCAUCAAGGUACUUUCUGCAUUCUUGUGUGUUGUAUGUUACUUUUCUCACUGAGAAUACCAGCAAGCAAGUUUUUUAUUCCUUUUUUAGCCCUUGAAACGGGUGGCAGCAUUUUAAUGUUUUUAAGCAGUGUCUGUGCCAACCACAUUGGCACAUCUUUUUUCCAAACUCUGCUGUUGUCUGAGGUAAAGCCAGGCAAAGAUGCUAUGCAAUAAUCAUUGCAUGGACUGCCAUGCAUGUGCAUGGACUAUUGCAGUGGUCAGUCCUGCUCUUCCCAAGUGCUACAUUUAGUUCCAUCUACGAGUCACUAAUCCAAACAUUGAGAAGGCACUGUCAGAGCAAAUGAAGCAGAAAAGUUGCUCCCAAAAAUCAGUGGACACAAAUCUCUCUCCUCUGCUUUCUGAAGAGAUGCCAGUUCCUCCUGUGUAUACACCUGGUAGAGCAGCACUGCUCAAAGGAACAUCUCAAUCUUCCAUGGCAACAAGCCCAGAAGCUGAUCUGCCAGCCCCAACCUGGUUAACUACUAAUAGGCAGUAAGUGGGGGCAGCCAGCACCCCAAAGAGCAAGGGCAACCUAUUUCUUCUGCACUGGGGGCAAUUUUCAUACUGCUGCUCUGGUGCUGCAACACUUAGGUGACUUCUAGCACAUGGAUUUCUUGGGAGUUUCCUUUACCUUUCUAUCUGCUAGGAGGCUCAGACAUCUGAGUUUUGCUUCACCACCUAUCCCAGGAGCUCUGCUGGCUGGCUCAGUCUACAAGCACAUCUCCUAUCAUGUGCAGCGGUUUCAGAAAAAACUGCUUUUCAGUCCUCAUCUUUCUUCUUCUCUGUUAACAAUACUCCCAUGUCCUCAGCAACCUGAUGAAAUUACACUGCCAAGCCAGUGUGCUGCCCACUGCCAGUGUGUGUACACUCUGAUGGACAUGGCAGCGUCCCCUACACUGCCUGUCAGCAGUCAAAGGUGACGCUGGCAAAUCAGCAGAUGCCAGCACAGGAAUCGCAGGAUUAAUUUUAAGUCCAGUUUCCAAAUUUCUGUAAUUUCUAGUGGACAUCCUGGAAUUCACCAUUAGAAAAACAAUUAUGGAAUAACCUCAUGGAAUAUUGGAGGAUUUAUUAAUAUAUAUAGACAUAGAGUUGUAGAGACUGUAUGAUUAAUAAGAAAACCACCUUGACUGGGGAAAAAAAGGUAGUAUAUGUGCUCUUCUGUUUAAUCUCUUUAAUUACUACAAUUUCAGUGAAUGACUAAACUAAUCCAAUGGAAUAACCCCAAGUAGACAUAUCCAGGAUUUUCCCACUGAUGUCUCCCCUCACUUUUUGAAUCUUUUCUCUCUAUUGCUUUGUAAAAAGGACUUCUAAUUCUGUACGCUUUAUUAUUCAGCCACUUUCAAUUAGGAGUGCCCCUAAAAAGCUUUGUUUCCUUCUCUCUUCUGUAGACAGAAGUUUUUAUGUAAAAAUUCAAAACAGUCCUUCUUCCAUAGUCUGCUUUUAUACUGUGUGUAUUCUGUCAUCCUGAAUUUUACCAGUGCAAAUUGUGAGACAUGCUCUCUCUGCAUGGGGGAAAGGUGUAGUUAUUUAUACAUAACUUGGAACAUGCUUUGGUGUGUGUUCCUAGCUAAACAUAUAAAAAAAGACAACUACCAACUCAACAUCUCCUGAAAAAUUAACAUUCUCAAUUCAGUGACAUUUUUUUGUUAGGCACCUUCAUUUGGCUUAGUAGGCUAUGCAUGAAAGCAUCCAAUCUGGAAUCAUUAGUGACAGUUACUAAAUUUCAGCUUUUGCCUUCUGUUUCCAGGAUUUUUUUUUUUUUUCAUUUCAGCAUACUUCUGACUAUGUUUUCAAGUCUAAAGGAUAUAAAUCAUAAAAAUAUUAAACAGACAUACAUAUACAUCAGAACCUUUGGUUUCUUUUCAGAUCCACCAAUUUCACCCAUAUAGGACUACAGUUAUGUCUAAAAGGCUUAUGUACCGAGUGUCAAUAUCAAUUAAUAAGUGAUGCUUUAAAAAACCUUUUAAUGUGACAUUUGGGAAAAACCUGGUGAUAGAAAAGCAUAUACUUUUUCCUUCCAAGAGUAAAUCAAACUGCGACUCCUUCACACUCAGCCUGUAUUUCAGAUAUGUAACUAUAUACCCAUUACAGUUCAUCUCUAGUUAUGGUACUCUAUCUCUCCAUUUCACAUAACUUAAAUUAUGUAAAAUAAGCAUGUGCUUAUGAAUUAAAAUAUAGUUGUUGCUUUCUAUGACGAAAAUAAACAGCAGGAUAUAUGUUACCAUUGCCAUCACAGGGAGCUUUACUGAAUAAUUCCUUUGACUACGGUAUGAAACACCCAACUUUAAAAGUCAGUAACUGAAGUAUGAACAAACAGACUGAUAAAAGGCUUUCCUGACCAAAGAUUCAUCUAUUCCAAUAACCUACCUCCUAGCAGAUAUGCAGGGAAGAGUACUGCAAGAAAAGCAUAUUUCAAAAGUACUUUCCCACCUUCCACAAUCUGUGGGCCUAGGAAUACCUGUUUGUUUUUUUUUUUAAUCUUUAGUUCAUAUAUCAACAUGACAUUUUAAAAUAAAUAUAAUAAUACAGAUACUAUUUUUUACAUUUUAUACUUGCCAUUAUUAGACUAAUACUUUUCUUCAGUUUUAUUUCACAAGCUGGGAAAUUCUAUCUGGUUUUCUUGUGCCAAACAGAAGUGCCCUCCUCACUUUUUAUACAUACACACCUUGCUGCUCUGGAACCAGCGUAAGGAGAAGAAGAUGUGGGAGACUCCUUUUCUGUCCUCUGCACCAGACACCACAAGGUUGCUGACAUCAGGCAUCUCCUUUUCUGUCUUUUACAUCUGCUAAGUAUUUUGAUGAGUGUACUAAAGCUACCUUAAUUUGUGUUACCAUUACUACAUGGACUAUAAUUGGUAAGAACUCCCUAGGAUAUCCUGCAUCCUUCUUGUGACAUAUUUUACCCUUAACCCAGGAGACAAAUCACCAAAAUGGUUCCCUUUCUCUCUGCUCAGGACACAGAUGUCUUGGCACAGGAUUUGCACCAAAGAAUCACAGCUCAGUAUUAUUGGUCUUUUCCUUCCUCUCACUGCUGGGCUGCUCACGGCCAAGAGCCGGAUGGUCACAGGCCUUAUAAGCUUCUUUUCUUAACCUGGCUGCCCACAGAAAUGAGGUAUUUGCAACACUGCCUUUCAUCUGGUGGUGUAGUUUCUUUUGUUUGGUUUGGGUUUUUUUGGUUUUUUUCCCUGCCUGCCAAUGCCCUGGCAGUAACAGAAAAAUCCACAGAGGAACUUUGUCUGCAUCUGAAAAAGGAGUCUCAAAGAAAAUUACAUUCUUACUGGGUUUGCAGCAAUAAGCAGGUAGGAGAGAACAGCAAGAUAAAAUUGUGCCGUUUGGGGUGAUUAGUUGGACAUAAAUUGUGCCAUUUUUUGGGUGGCAGUGGCUGGCUGUUGACCCAGCAAACUCCAAAUAUUGCUAGCCACAAUACUGGUGUCCCUUGAAAGACUGGGAAUAUCAAGGAUGGUCCUGAAUGCAAUAUAGGUAGACAAAUGUAUAGGGAAUUAAGGUGCAGGAAUUUUAAGACUAUAGGAACAACUUAUUUUCUUGCCUUAUGCUACCCUUUUAAGAACAUUCUAUUUAUGGUUUUAAAGUUAAAGUCAGGUUUUGCCUCUCUAUAAUUUUUCUAUUUGAGGAUCACAAGGCACUAUAUGAGCAUUAGAUCACUUUCCCACACACACCUGCUGAAAUUAUGCACUCACUGCAAUCAUAAAGAAAACAUGUAAACUGGAUUCUUUAAUUUAAAGCAGCUAUAGCUUUUCUUUUUGAACCUUAUUCACUAACAUAUUUUAAUACACCUAUGUACAAAUAAUACCUCUGAAAAAAAAAAAACAGUAAAUGUAUCAUCAAUGUAAAAUACUCAGAUAAGAAACUAUCUAAGAAAUAUGAAAAUUAUUAGGCUUCUUCUCACUAACUGAAAACUAUAAUAGAUGGUUUCAUAUUUAUCUGUGAUAUGAAUCCUAAAUAAAGAAUAAUAAUAAAUUUUUAAUGCUUUUAACAUAAUGAUUUUCUAGGGGUUUCAGAGGACAGACUUUUGUUUAAUCGUAUUUCUGGGCUGUUGCCAGGCUGUCACUAUUCCCUAGAGCUGAAUCUCUGGACAUCAGAGGUUCUCCCCUGGAGCUGAAUCUAUAGACAUUAAAGAUUCAGAGUCGCUACAUACCUUAAGCUAGGAGAGACAAGGGACUUGGUCCUAAUUACAGUUUAUGCCCAUUUAAGGUUCUUGAAGCUUAAUGCAGAAGCCUUGAUGCAAAUGAAAAUCAGGUCCUCAGUCACUUCAAAAGUACUCACAAAAAAGGCUAAAAUUCUGUUUAACUUCCUCUUCUUAUCAAAGUCUUGGAAAAAGAGAGCCUUUUCAUAAGGGCCGAGCACUGCAUGCUUAAUCUGAAGUCUGCCUUUUAAAGAGAGUGAUUGAUUUUUCCACAUUAAGGGCAAAAUAGCAGGAAAUCUGUGCCUCACUAACUCUUACACACAUACCUGCUAGCAACUGAGAAGCUCACUAUUCAAAUCAAAAUGGGAUUUCUGGGUUUUAACUGUAGCACUUGAAGGGCUCAAUUCCUUCGGCUUUGUCUUAAAUUAAAAGCCAGAAAUUAUUUCCCCCUGAGACUUCAAGCUAGAUCUUUGCCAAGGCCAUGGGUCACUUGAUUGCAUCCAGAAGUUUACUCUAUACUUAGCUGGUGAUGUGUCGAUGUGAUGAGGUUUCAGCACAUGAUACUUCUUAGUGACUGAAGCUGGUUCCCAUGAUUUUUAAAAUUCAGUUGGGGAAUAGGAGUACAUAAAAUCUGACUGUAAUUUUCAGGGUUUUUUUUUCCCCCACGUUAUAGUUUUCCAGAAAUGUAAGCAUUUACAGGGACCUUUGGUUUCUUGC